GGCCUCGUGGCCCAAUGGCAAGGCGUCUGACUACGAUAAGUAAAUCAGGAGAUUCUGGGUUCGACCCCCAGCGAGGUCA